CGAGUAGGCAAGGCAAUCGCUGAGCACUCAAGAAUUUGAGUACUUGGAGGAAAGUCCGAACAUCUACUCCAUAAUGGGUUAAAAAGAUAGCGGCUAACGGCCGUCGCCCGCCUAAUUUUAUCUAAAAAUUAGGCGAGGUAGAGGUGCGAACAGAGACGCCGAAGUCCGAAAGGACUGAGGCGCCAAGCACAUAAGUAUGUGCUUGGCGAGCUGUCUUAUAGGGCGGGGUCGCCCCAUCGGCGACCUGCCGAAGAGGCAGAUGAAACGGCUAAAUCCUUAUUAGAUGCAAGAACAAAUCAAGAGUUCUGGAUUCAUACAGAAUUUCUUGGAAAAAGUGGUUCGCUUGAGCCUUGAAGUAAUUCAGGGCCCAGAUAGAUGAUUGCCAUGGGUUAUCUUGUAAAGGAUAAUCCAACAGAAUUCGGCUUACUGCCUGCUCGGGCU
rnacentral:RNase_P_RNA from 1 species